rnacentral:sRNA from 2 species
AUUUUUGUUUUCUAGGGUUCCGCGAUAAAAUUAUCGGACUGGUCCAAGAGAAAACACACAGCCUAGCUGUGACACGGAGGGACAAAAGCCCGGGAGAU